ensembl:lncRNA
CAUGUGGCCAGCAUGACUGCACGGAGCGCCGUUACCUUCCUGCUGGAGCGGUACCUAUUGAUCUACUCACAUUUGCAUGUUUUCUGACUGCUAGGUUGGCAGGAGCUGGGGCUAACAGCGGGCACUCAUUCCGCUCCCGGGAUUUGAACCUGGCACCUUUCGGUCCGUAAAUUCAACAGCUUAGUGCUUUAACACACUUCGCCACUGGGGCUCCUCUGUAUCGUAACUGUAAUGAAUUCUUCAUUACUUUUUGGCAAGCAAUUGCACAAGGGCGGGGGGGGGGGAAUCCAACCCCCUUUAUUCUGCCAGGCAGGAAAAAAAACAAUCAAACCACCCCCAAAAGAUGCUCAUCCAGCCUUUGAAAUAAUAAUAAUAACAACAGGAAACCUACUAGGUAAACUUUGGAGUUACUGACUCUCAACUUUGCCUACCUCACAGGGUUGAUUCAAUCCCCUUCUUUUAUCUCAAAAUUUCUUUAGAAAACAAAUAUGGAGAAGGAGGAGGUGGCACAAGGCAAUAAGCAGAAUUCUGGGAAAUUAAGUUUGGGAAGGCAAGAACUCCUGUGGCAGAGAAUUCAAAAGGCCCCACCCUAAGCUACAUUUCCCAGAAUCCUGCUCACUUCCCACAUUACAGUGCUUGGGUUUUCCUGCUCCAAGUUGGAGAAGUUAUUUUUAAAAACGGAGGUGCUGCAUUGACCCCAGGUCAGCAGUGCCAGAGAAUUCAAAAGGCCCUGCCCUAAACUACAUUUCUUAGAAUUCUAUUUGCUUCCCACAUUAAAGCCUCAAUGUGAGUGUAGUCUCUGCCUCUCUCUCUCUAGGCCGGCCAUGUGUGGAGGGCCUUCUUCCUUGCCUUGCCAUCCUCCUCGGGGCCCUUUGUGGGAACCAAACCCAGCCCUUUUGGGGGAGAAGCGGCACCCAUUACGGAAACCUGGAGACAUUUAUGAGAGUUGCAAAACUUAUCCGAAAGCCAUAGAGCAGUCGUUCCCAACCUUUAAGAGACUGUGGACCACAGAGGCAAAAAUUGGGUACAUUGUGGACUUUUGAGCUCAAUCAACCCAUCUUCCUGCCACUGCACACAAAGAAAUUAAAUGAGUUAUUAUUAUUUUGUGAUAUACAGAUAAAACACCAUAAUGAGACUUAGAAAAAUUAAUGAUUUUUGCACAUGUAUUUCUUUCAUUAGGUGGGGAAAGCUUGGAUUGAUACUAUUGCUCAAUGCCACAUGCAUGUCAUGGUAUUGAGUAAUAGUAGACUGGCUCUUGAUCAGGGCCGUAGCCAGAAAAAAAAUUCGGGGAGGGUUUUGAAAAUUUGGGGGGGGGGGUUGAACCCCUAAACCCCCCCCCCCAAGCUACAAACCUGUCAAUAUCUGCUUGAGAUAGUGCCAGGAGGGACUCUUAAUUUUUUGCAUCUCAUAGACUUAGCAUGGGGAUUUGGUUAACCAGUUAAAAUUCAUGAGUAAACCAGGUUCAACAGGCCUGCUCUUGAUAGUAGUAGACUCUCAGACUGGCUCUUCAAACCUGAGUACUAACAGGAGCCCAGGCUCCUGUUAGUACUAGGACUUUAAGAGCCAAUAUGGGAGAAUGGGCUCCUAAAAUUCCUCUUCUGCUGGCCCAGCCUCCUUUUCCCUCCCAACGAUGACCCAGUGAUGAAGCUUCCCUUGGACCAUGCCUUUACUGACCUGCUGGCUUUGGCGGCCUCCUCCUCCUUGCAGUUCAGACUGCAAAUGGGGCUUCCUUCCUUGCCUCAAAAGCA